rnacentral:rRNA from 1 species
AUGAUGGGCGCGAGGAAGAUCGCCAUCAUCAACGUGGGCCUGUCCGGAUGUCUGCCAGUGGUCCGCGCCCACGACGCAAGGGGCGCAUGCAACGACGGCGUAAACGAGCUCGCGGCCGGAUUCAAUGGCGCCCUCAAGUUCUUCCUCGCCGACCUAGCGCCCAGGCUGCCGGGCCUCGCCUACUCACUCGCCGACGGCUUCGCCCACAGACAAGCCCUCAUCGCUAACCCGCAGGCUGCCGGCUUCGUGAACGCGACCAGCGCGUGCUGUGGGAGCGGGAGGCUCGGUGGGGAGGGCGGUUGCCUGCCCACGUCGAACAUCUGCGGCGACAGUGAUGGCUACGUCUACUGGGACUGGGACAAGGUCGAUGUUGCCACAGCGAAUAGGGGCCACAAGGCUUUUGGCAUAGUUGGUGACAGGCCAGUAACCUUCCCAAAGGAGCUCAAAGUCGAAGCAAAGUAG